UGUUUUUGACAGAUUUAAGGAAUGAUAUUCCUUAUACUUUUUACAAUGUCAACCCUCAAAAUAAUUACCAUUGCAUUCCCAAAUCUUGAUCCUAUUGUUACAUUGAUACUCCUAUGCCUCUUUGGUGGGGUUGUGGUUUGGUUCGGGACCUGGGAUAUAGGCUAGAUAGUCAGUAAGGAAUCGAUGUAAUUUGCUUUAACCAUUUAAACCGUCAAGUUCUUCAUUUUUUCUCUCCGCAUGGAGGUGAGGGAUUAUAUUCUCUUGUUUAUGUUAUUAAUAAAAAAUGUCAUGAUGUGUGGUUUAAAAUGAAAAUGUGUUCCCCUCAUGGUCACCCCUCCCAUUAAUUAUCAAAUUGCAACCGUUUUUCAUUUUACAGUGGAAUACACACAUUGUCAUCCUUGAGCAAUGAUCAAGGCAAGUAUAUAAGAAUCCAGGAAAUAUUUCUCUCCAAUGAAGUGCCAUCCGCCAUCCUUGUAUUGUGUGUAUAUAUACACCACACGAGAUCAAGUUUCCCAGCCUUUGUUUCUAGGGCCGGUUCGGUGAUUGUCGAGGCCCGAGACGAAAUCCAUAAAUUAGGCCCCUAAAAUCAAUGUAAAUACAAAAUUCAACGAUGUAUUAUGCAACUUAUUGUUAACUUAAAACUUCACAUUAAAAUAACAAAUAGACUUUUUAUACAAAAGAUUUAUAUUAUAAAAUAACAAAACCAACAAUGUUUCAAACAGUUAGUUAAAUACUACUCACUUUUAAUUACAUUAAGCUUGUAAACCUGAUAAAGCUGUGUAAUCAAAUCAUCAAUCCUAAAAUUUCAUUUCUUUUGCUAAUCAAUCUCAGUUCAUGGUUUUUGAUUUGGUCAGUUUUUAAUGUCAAAUUACAAGGAAAAGCCAUAAAAUAGGAGACAAAGCAGGAAAUUUCAAAUCAGUUACUAAAACCUACUGCAAAAAAUAAAGGUAUUUAUAAAUUGUAGUUGAAAUAUCAACUCCUAACAAUUAGUACCUAAUCCUGCUAGCACUACCAGCUAGAAGAUCAUCAAAAGGAUGAAAAAGAAAAACUCUCCGAGGCCCUAAGUUUGCCAAUCUCUCAACCCCAUGUUAUUUAAAUACCAUAAGUCCACCCGAGUCUAACCAAUUCAUAAACCCAUAAUUAUAAUUACAAAAUGAGCUCCUAAGAAGCUCAGAAACUAGGUUUCAUAUUAGAUUUUCAAUCCCACUCAUGGUCAGUCUCCAUGGAAAAUAAUGAUGGGUGAAUCUCUGUACAAUGAAACCUAACCCCUCCACUUCCUUCUGCGCUCUCUAAUUAAAAAUGAAAUCCAAGCUUCAUUACAUUACAACGCAAAAUCAAUGAUCCCAAAAUGAUCAGUUUCCUACAACCAUCUAGAACUGAAAAUUUUCACCUCGAAAUGAAGCUAUUAUUCUGAAAAUAAGCAAUAACAACCUUCCAAGCGGAAAAUACGACAAACUCAGAUCCCUAAAACAGAAAAACUUCCACACUUAGUCAACAAUAGUUGAGAACAGGCCAAUUUAACAUGCAGAGAAACACAAUUAAAAAAGAAAAUGAAAGAGACAACAGUGUAUAAAAAGCUCCUUUGAAGGCAUACGUGGAGAAUCUUCCACUUCACAUAAGAGGAGGAAGAGAAGCUGCCUAGGGAAAUGAGGUCGUGGCCUAGUCGCCGUCCUGUUGGAGUUGUUGGAGGCGGCGAGCAGUCGCCAGUCGCAGGACAAACCCGAGGGGAUAAACGAAUGGAAAUCCCUUUUUCCCUUUUACAUCAUUUAAAAAAAGGGGCCAAAAUGAGGCC
rnacentral:lncRNA from 1 species